rnacentral:rRNA from 1 species
CCGCGUGAGUGAUGAAGGUUUUCGGAUCGUAAAGCUCUGUUGUUAGGGAAGAACAAGUACCGUUCAAAUAGGGCGGUACCUUGACGGUACCUAACCAGAAAGCCACGGCUAACUACGUGCCAGCAGCCGCGGUAAUACGUAGGUGGCAAGCGUUGUCCGGAAUUAUUGGGCGUAAAGGGCUCGCAGGCGGUUUCUUAAGUCUGAUGUGAAAGCCCCCGGCUUAACCGGGGAGGGUCAUUGGAAACUGGGGAACUUGAGUGCAGAAGAGGAGAGUGGAAUUCCACGUGUAGCGGUGAAAUGCGUAGAGAUGUGGAGGAACACCAGUGGCGAAGGCGACUCUCUGGUCUGUAACUGACGCUGAGGAGCGAAAGCGUGGGGAGCGAACAGGAUUAGAUACCCUGGUAGUCCACGCCGUAAACGAUGAGUGCUAAGUGUUAGGGGGUUUCCGCCCCUUAGUGCUGCAGCUAACGCAUUAAGCACUCCGCCUGGGGAGUACGGUCGCAAGACUGAAACUCAAAGGAAUUGACGGGGGCCCGCACAAGCGGUGGAGCAUGUGGUUUAAUUCGAAGCAACGCGAAGAACCUUACCAGGUCUUGACAUCCUCUGACAAUCCUAGA